CACCGCCCAUCGUUCCUACCGAUUGAAUGGUCCGGUGAAGUGUUCGGAUCGCGGCAACGGGGGCGGUUCGCCGCCCCCAACGUCGCGAGAAGUCCAUUGAACCUUAUCAUUUAGAGGAAGGAGAAGUCGUAACAAGGUUUCCGUAGGUGAACCUGCGGAAG
rnacentral:rRNA from 16 species